ensembl:lncRNA mucin-5AC-like
AUGGACAGAGAAAUCAUUCUUUGGAUACUUUUACUCAAAUGUUUUGUUCAUCCUGUCAUAAACGAAACUACAAUAACUUUACCACCAACAAUCAAAGCUUCAUCACCAAAUACUACGACCCACAAACCAACUACUACAACUGUGCUGCGAACAACUACAACUUCACCAGCAACUACAACAACAAUACCACCAACUACUACAACUUUACCACCAACUACCACGACACCAACAACUUUAACAACUUCACCACCAACUAAUGCCACUUUACCACCAACUAAGGCCACUUUACCACCAACUACCAUGACUUCAAUGCCAGCAACUACAGAAAUUUCCCCACCAACUAAUGCAACCUCACCACCAACUACUUCAAGUUUCCUGCCAACAACUAAAACAACUUCAGCACCAACUACCACAGAUUUGCCCCCAAGUACCACAAAUUCACCAGCAACAACUACAACAACUUCAUCACCAAAUGCUACGACCCCCGAACCAACUACUACAACUGUGCUGCCAACAACUACAACUUCACCAGAAACGACAACAACAAUACCACUAACUACUACAACUUUACCACCAACUACCAUGACACCAACAACUACAACAACUUCAUCACCAACUACUACAACCCCCGAACCAACUACUACAACUGUGCUGCCAACAACGACAACUUCACCAGCAACUACAACAACAAUACCAGCAACUACUACAACUUUACCACCAACUACCACGACACCAACAACUUUAACAACUUCACCACCAACAAAUGCCACUUUACCACCAACUAAUGCAACUUUACCACCAACUACCGUGACUUCAAUGCCAGCAACUACAGAAAUUUCCCCACCAACUAAUGCAACCUCACCACCAACUACUUCAAGUUUCCUGCCAACAACUAAAACAACUUCAGCACCAACUACCACAGAUUUUCCCCCAAGUACCACAAAUUCACCAGCAACAACUACAACAACUUCAUCACCAAAUGCUACGACCCCCGAACCAACUACUACAACUGUGCUGCCAACAACUACAACCUCACCAGCAACUACAACAACAAUACCACUAACUACUACAACUUUACCACCAACUACCAUGACACCAACAACUACAACAACUUCACCACCAACUACUACAACCCCAGAACCAACUACUACAACUGUGCUGCCAACAACGACAACUUCACCAGCAACUACAACAACAAUACCAGCAACUACUACAACUUUACCACCAACUACCACGACACCAACAACUUUAACAACUUCACCACCAACAAAUGCCACUUUACCACCAACUAAUGCAACUUUACCACCAACUACCAUGACUUCAAUGCCAGCAACUACAGAAAUUUCCCCACCAACUAAUGCAACCUCACCACCAACUACUCCAAGUUUCCUGCCAACAACUAAAACAACUUCAGCACCAACUACCACAGAUUUGCCCCCAAGUACCACAAAUUCACCAGCAACAACUACAACAACUUCAUCACCAAAUGCUACGACCCCCGAACCAACUACUACAACUGUGCUGCCAACAACUACAACUUCACCAGCAACUACAACAACAAUACCACCAACUACUACAACUUUACCACCAACUACCACGACACCAACAACUUUAAAAACUUCACCACCAACUAAUGCCACUUUACCACUAACUAAUGCAACUUUACCACCAACUACCAUGACUUCAAUGCCAGCAACUACAGAAAUUUCCCCACCAACUAAUGCAACCUCACCACCAACUACUUCAAGUUUCCUGCCAACAACUAAAACAACUUCAGCACCAACUACCACAGAUUUUCCCCCAAGUACCACAAAUUCACCAGCAACAACUACAACAACUUCAUCACCAACUACUACAACCCCAGAACCAACUACUACAACUGUGCUGCCAACAACUACAACUUCACCACCAACAACUACAACAACUUCACCACCAACUAAUGCAAAUUCACCACCAACUAAUGCAACUUUACAACUAGUAACCACGACUUCAACACCAACAACUACAACAACUUCACCACCAACUAAUGCAACUUUACCACCAACUACCACGACUUUAACGCCAACAACUAUAACAACUUUACCACUAACCACUACAAGAGCUUCACUACCAACUACCACAAUUUCACCAACAACUACAACUUCACCACCAACAACUACCAAAACUUCACAACCAAACAUCACUAACAAAGAGUCAACAAGUCCAGGUUCUGAGGUAUUUUCUCAUGUAGGUCUACAAAUAAGGAUGACUUCCAUAGAGGAUGUCAGUCGUGAGGACAUAGAGAUCUACAUACAAGAUUUCAUCAGUGAUUUCCUGAGAGAAAAAGGCCUUAUCUUCAAUGUCAAUGUAACAAAGGUUGCAAAUAUGUAAACAGAGUUGCAGUAUUUAAAUGGUGGUGUUUAUGGGCGUUGAGUUUACAAAAACUGAUUGAGGAACUGGUUUUUUUUGUCCGUCUCAUUCACUCACUGCCUUAAGCCAUCUGCACGCAUGAUUUCUUCUUACCAGGUGUCAGAGUAUUAGAUUCCUGUUAGGUUAUAGUGAUGAAUCACAGAACUACCUAAAUGUUUUUCAUAAUCAGAUGUGAAAAUAAGAGACACUUUUCAAUGUAGUUCUAAUCUUUGAUUUGUAUGUUUUUGUGCUCUACAUCUAUUAUUUAUCGAUUGUCCAAUGGUUUCCUAUUUUUAGAGUUCAGAGAGAGGCAAAAUUAAAAGGCACAGGAUGAGUCCCACUGUGGUUAUGUACAGAACUUCAAAUGUGACACACUUUUUUUUUACUAACAUUUGUGUAUCUGACAUGUCUGACAUCAUUAAAAAAGAGGAUAAUGGAUUGGCAUCAUCAGUAUGUUUUGUAUUGUUUGUCUUUAUGACUUGUUUUUCCAUUGAGUGUGCACCAUUUACUCUUUAUUCAGCAUGUAAAAAAAACAAGACAAAACUGAAAUCUAUUAAAAGAAAACAUAUUACACCACUAAUAUUGUACUAUGAUG